UACGGAGGGUGCAAGCGUUAUCCGGAUUCACUGGGUUUAAAGGGUGCGUAGGUGGGCAGGUAAGUCAGGGGUGAAAUCCUGGAGCUCAACUCCAGAACUGCCUUUGAUACUGGGAAUCUCGAGUCCGGGAGAGGUGAGUGGAACUGCGAGUGUAGAGGUGAAAUUCGUAGAUAUUCGCAAGAACACCAGUGGCGAAGGCGGCUCACUGGCCCGGUACUGACGCUGAGGUGCGAAAGCGUGGGGAGCAAACAGG
rnacentral:rRNA from 1 species